rnacentral:rRNA from 1 species
AUACGGAGGAUGCGAGCGUUAUCCGGAUUUAUUGGGUUUAAAGGGUGCGUAGGCGGACGAUUAAGUCAGCUGUGAAAUGCCCGCGCUUAACGCGGGAAGUGCAGUUGAUACUGGUUGUCUGGAGUGCCGUUGCCGUGGGGGGAAUGUGUAGUGUAGCGGUGAAAUGCAUAGAUAUUACACAGAACGCCGAUUGUGAAGACACCUCACGAAGCGGUAACUGACGCUGAGGCACGAAAGCGUGGGGAUCGAACAGGAUUAGAUACCCUGGUAGUCCACGCAGUAAACGAUGAUUACUAGCUGUUUGCGAUAUACAGUAAGUGGCACAGCGAAAGCGUUAAGUAAUCCACCUGGGGAGUACGCCGGCAACGGUGAAACUCAAAUGAAUUGGCGGGG